CCUACGGGAGGCAGCAGUCGAGAAUCAUUCACAAUGGGGGAAACCCUGAUGGUGCGACGCCGCGUGGGGGAAUGAAGGUCUUCGGAUUGUAAACCCCUGUCAUGUGGGAGCAAAGUAAAAAGAUAGUACCACAAGAGGAAGAGACGGCGAAAUCUGUGCCAGCAGCAGCGGUAAUACAGAGGUGUCAAGCGUUGUUCGGAAUCACUGGGCGUAAAGGGUGCGGAGGCUGUUUCGUAAGUCGUGUGUGAAAGGCGGGGGCUCAACCCGCGGACGGCACAUGAUACUGGAGGACUUGAGUAAAGGAAGGGGAACCGGAAUUCACGGUGUAGCAGUGAAAUGCGUAGAUAUCGAGAGGAACACUCGUGGCGAAGGCAGGUGCCCGGACAUUAACUGACGCUGAGGCACGAAGGCGAGGGGAGCGAACGGGAUUAGAUACCCCAGUAGUC
rnacentral:rRNA from 1 species